UUCAAUGAGAGUUUGAUCCUGGCUCAGGACGAACGCUGGCGGCGUGGAUAAGGCAUGCAAGUCGAACGCUCCCGAGAUUUUCGCAAGAAAGUCGAGGGAGAGUGGCAAACGGGGUAGUAACACGUAGGUACGUACCCUUAAGUCGGGUAUAACUCCGGGAAACCGGAGCUAAUUCCCGAUAUUGUGGUAACACGAAAGAAGCAAUUCGCUUAAGGAGCGGCCUGCGGGCUAUCAGCUUGUUGGUGAGGUAAUGGCUCACCAAGGCAGUGACGGCUAGGGGACGUGAGAGCGUGACCCCCACCAUUGGGACUGAGACACGGCCCAAACACCUACGGGUGGCUGCAGUCGAGAAUCUUCGACAAUGGGCGAAAGCCUGAUCGAGCGACGCCGCGUGCAGGAUGAAGUUCUUCGGGACGUAAACUGCUUUUAAUCGGGAUGAAUCUCGGCUUGCCGGGAUGACAGUACCGGUUGAAUAAGGGCCUGCUAACCUCGUGCCAGCAGCCGCGGUAAGACGAGGGGCCCAAGCGUUGUCCGGAAUCACUGGGCGUAAAGGGUGUGUAGGGGGUUAUGUUAGUCCUGCUUUAAAGCUCUCGGCUUAACCGGGAAAAUGGGCAGGAAACGGCAUAGCUGGAGGAUGCGAGAGGCGUACGGAACUCACGGUGGAGGGGUGAAAUCCGUAGAUAUCGUGGGGAACACCGAAGGCGAAGGCAGUACGCUGGCGCAUACCUGACCCUGAAACACGAAAGCGUGGGGAUCAAAGAGGAUUAACAAUCGCUCGCACCAUUUUUGCUGCAAAUUGAGUUUCGGCAAGAAAAAAUCAUAGUCGCUUCGCGACGAAAAAUUCAAAACUGCGCCGCCCUUCGGGCGUGCCCGGACAGAUGAAUUUUUCUGCGAAGCUCCUUGAUUUCAAAUCUUGCCUCCGCAAGAUUUGCGCAAAAAGGCGCUCGCUCACAUGAGCGAGAUAUAAAGGGUGUAUCGAGCGCUAGUCCCCAUGUGCGAAACGCACGUGGUUAAAAAACUUGUCCCAAUUUUGCUCGCAAUCCGCCAGUUGGCGGAGAGCGAUUGCAAAAUUGCGGAUCCCGAAAUCGCGAGAGCGAUGAGGGAGCUAUAUGCUGGAAAGCCCGCAAAAAUCUCACAGUACUACAGUAUACUGUAGUAAAAAUCUGAUGAGCGAAGCGGACAACCAGCAGGGAAGUCCUGAACGAAGUUGAAGGACCCCUCAGAGACUAUACGCCGAGCCCCGCCAACAAUAAUUAUGCCGCGCGCGAUGUACUCAUCGCGCGCCGGCACUUAUUUUUGGUAGGCGGGGAUGAUAUAGUCCGAACUCUAUGGCGACAUAGAGAGGUAAGUAGAAAUAACUUGCCCGACUUGGAAACUCAAUUUCCAAGUAAGUAACAACAUUGUAGAUACCCUUGUAGUCCACGCCCUAAACGAUGAUGACUAGCUAUUGGAAGUAUCGACCCUUCCAGUGGCGAAGCUAACGCGUUAAGUCAUCCGCCUGGGAAGUACGGUCGCAAGGCUAAAACUCAAAGGAAUAGACGGGGACUUGCACAAGCGGUGGAGCAUGUGGUUUAAUUCGAUGACAAGCGAAGCACCUCACCAGGGCUUGACAUCCCGACGAAAUCCCGGUGAAAGCCGGAACUUCUCACAAGGACGGCGGGACAGGUGCUGCAUGGUUGUCGUCAGUUCGUGGCUUGAGCUGUUCCCUUAAGUGGGUUAACGAACGCAACCCCUGCCCUGAGUUAUACGUGUCUCAGGGGACCGCCCAGCGCCACUUUUCUUAAGGUGUACCAUAUUUAUAUGGCUGCAUUCUUUUGAAAUGACAAGGAUGCGCAAGCAUUCAAGUUUGAGAAAAGUGGUGCUGGGAGGAAGGUGGGGAUGACGCCAAAUCAGCAUGGCCCUUUGAUGCCCUGGGCUACACACAUGCUACAAUGGCCGGUACAAUGGGUUGCCAACCCGCAAGGGGGAGCCAAUCCCAUCAAAACCGGCCCCAGUUCGGAUUGAGGUCUGCAACUCGACCUCAUGAAGUUGGAAUCGCUAGUAAUCGCGGAUCAGCACGCCGCGGUGAAUACGUUCUCAAGUCUUGUACUCACCGCCCGUCACGUCAAGGAAGCUGGGAGUGGCCAAAGCCCCCGCUUUAGCGGGGUCUAAGCUAAGCUCAGUGACAGGGACGAAGUCGUAACAAGGCACGCGUAGGGGAACCUGUGCGUGGAUCAUAUCCUAG
rnacentral:rRNA from 1 species